UUAAUUUUAGCGCCUGGACAGCUACAUAUCUGAAAAAUCAUAACAUAAUUUUGCUUUUAUUGAAAUCAAUUUAUUUUAUCAAAUAAUUAGCAAAGAUAGCUGUUGACGAGGAUAGAGUUUAUCGAAAUACUCGGCGGAUACUCUAUGGCACACUAUUGCCAAAGACAUUUACAAAACAUACUAGUAAUAGUAUAACAAAAUAAUG
rnacentral:ncRNA from 1 species